rnacentral:rRNA from 1 species
GGAAACCGGGCGACUNGAGUGCAGAAGAGGACAGUGGAACUCCAUGUGUAGCGGUGGAAUGCGUAGAUAUAUGGAAGANCACCAGUGGCGAAGGCGGCUGUCUGGUCUGCAACUGACGCUGAGGCUCGAAAGCAUGGGUAGCGAACAGGAUUAGAUACCCUGGUAGUCCAUGCCGUAAACGAUGAGUGCUAGGUGUUGGAGGGUNUCCGCCCUUCAGUGCCGGAGCUAACGCAUUAAGCACUCCGCCUGGGGAGUACGACCGCAAGGUUGAGACUCAAAGGAAUUGACGGGGGCCCGCACAAGCGGUGGAGCAUGUGGUUUAAUUCGAAGCUACGCGAAGAACCUUACCAGGUCUUGACAUCUUGCGCUAACCUAAGAGAUUAGGCGUUCCCUUCGGGGACGCAAUGACAGGUGGUGCAUGGUCGUCGUCAGCUCGUGUCGUGAGAUGUUGGGUUAAGUCCCGCAACGAGCGCAACCCUUGUUACUAGUUGCCAGCAUUUAGUUGGGCACUCUAGUGAGACUGCCGGUGACAAACCGGAGGAAGGUGGGGACGACGUCAGAUCAUCAUGCCCCUUAUGACCUGGGCUACACACGUGCUACAAUGGACGGUACAACGUGUUGCGAACUCGCGAGAGUAAGCUAAUCUCUUAAAGCCGUUCUCAGUUCGGACUGUAGGCUGCAACUCGCCUACACGAAGUCGGAAUCGCUAGUAAUCGCGGAUCAGCAUGCCGCGGUGAAUACGUUCCCGGGCCUUGUACA